rnacentral:rRNA from 1 species
CAGCAGCCGCGGUAAUACGAAGGGGGCUAGCGUUGCUCGGAAUUACUGGGCGUAAAGGGAGCGUAGGCGGAUCGUUAAGUUUGGGGUGAAAGCCCGGGGCUCAACCUCGGAACUGCCUUCAAUACUGGCGAUCUUGAGUAUGAGAGAGGUGUGUGGAACUCCGAGUGUAGAGGUGAAAUUCGUAGAUAUUCGGAAGAACACCAGUGGCGAAGGCGACACACUGGCUCAUUACUGACGCUGAGGCUCGAAAGCGUGGGGAGCAAACAGGAUUAGAUACCCCAGUAGUCCCUGUCUCUUAUAC